rnacentral:lncRNA from 10 species
AAAAGUAAAUAAACGCCCUCAAGUUAGGAAUGAACGGAGGAAAUGGGUUAAACGAGAAUAAAUAAUUGAAGGCAGAGAGGUAAAGAACUUCCUCUUUCAACGCAUCUCAAAAUUUGGCGUGGAUGCAGAUCACCUACAGAGCCUGAAGCAACCCCCUGUGCCAGCCUCCCCGAGCUCCAGCUUCCCAGUGAGAUCAAAGAUCCUUGGAAGGCGGUUUCCUGCCACCUGCACCAGUGAGGACAAAGGUAAGGUGAGAGGAAUUGUAGGCCUUGGCUUUAUCCUCAAUCUGCUCGUUCACCAGUUCCCAGGCCAAUCAGGCCAAAAAUGCUUCUGGUUUCCAGAAACAACCCUACUACACUAAGAAAAGGGGUUGUUCUGGGUGGGGCGUGGUGGCUCACGCCUGUAAUCCCAGCACUUUAGGAGGCCAAGGUGGGUGGAUCAUCUGAGGCCAGAAGUUCGAGACCAGGCUGGCCAACAUGGUGAAACCCUGUCUCCGGUAAAAAUAUAAAGAUUAGCUGGGCAUGAUGGCACGUGCCUGUAAUUCCAGCUACUUGGGAGGCUGAGGCAGGAGAAUCACUUGAACCCAAGAGGCAGAGGUUGCAGUGAGCUGAGAUCAUGCCACUGCACUCCAGCCUGGGCGACAAGAAUGAAACUCGGUCUUGAAGGAAAAAAUAAAAUAAAAUAAAAUAAAAUGGGUUGUUCUGGAAGGGUAUCCAUACAGUGACAUCUUCAAAAUAGCAAAAGCUGUUAUUAGCUGAGCCCUUACUAUGUGCCAAGCACCAUGCCAGUCACUUCAUGUGCAGAGACUCAGUUAUUCCUCAUGACAACCCUAAGAAGUAGAUACUUUUCUUAAGCCCAAUUUAGAGAUGAGGACAUUGAGGCUUGGACAGGUGAUGUGACCUACCCCAGACCACACAGCUAGGAGAAGGUAGAGCCAGGAACCCAUCCCCACCCUGGGAACCCUUAUAAAGGGUUCCUCUUAGGUGUCUCAGUAAUCAGGAUGGUGGUUCUUAACAUAACGUCUUACCCACUAUCCUGGAUUGGCACCGUGGAAGAAUACUCUGGGGAAUUUUUUUUUUGGAAAUACAGGUUUUAUGAAAACACACACAUACACGCACACAAAUUUUGAACUGUAUUUAAUGAAAUGCCUGCCAAAGUAUGCAAAGGGGCAGUGGAUGGAUGUCUCUUACUUACUUUGGAUGCAACUUACUUUGAAAUGCAACAAGAAAUAAGGUGGAUGGCUGGGCGUGGUGGCUCACGCCUGUAAUCCCAGCACUUUGGGAGGCCAAGGCAGGUGGAUCACAAGGUCAGGAGAUUGAGACCAUCCUGGCUAACACGGUGAAACCCUGUCUCUACUAAAAAAUACAAAAAAUUAGCCAGGCGUGGUGACGAGCACCUGUAGUCCCAGCUACUCUGGAGGCUGAGGCAGGAGAAUGGCGUGAACCCGGAAGGCGGAGCUUGCAGUGAGCUGAGACGGCGCCACUGCACUCCAGCCUGGGCGACAGAGUGAGACUCCAUCUCAAAAAAAAAAAAAAAGAUAAGAAAUAAGGUGGAUGGAUGGGUGGAUAGAGGGAAGGACAGGUGGCUAGAGCUGAGAUAAGGCAACUAGAGUCAACUGUUCAUUGUGGAAUCCGCAUGGUGGGUGAUUGAUGUUCACUGCACAGUUCUUUCAAGAACACAACAUCUGGGGACAACUGUAGGUUCCAGGGCUGCAGCACAGCCUUCCUGCAUUGGAAUGUCUGGGGGUGGGACCCUAGAAUGAUUCUGGGGCCCAGCCCUCCCCUACUCAGUGACAAGCAAACUUCUGCUCUCUCACUCACAGAGUAUCACCAGGUCAUGUGAAAGUCGAUGCAUCUUGGCCUCUGGUGCCCCUUUUUCUCCACUUCACGCAGGCCCAGGGCUGGGCUCAAGGGAGCAUGGGUAGAAUAGGGUAAAGUCACACCUCAGUGCCUGAUGACUGACACUCUCUAGCCCUCUGCACCAGUAGUGAUUUCUGCUGUCCACGGCACACUGCCAUGGCGUGAACAGAAUGUUUGUGCCCUCUCCUCCCAAAUUCAUAUGUUCCACUGUAUGUGGUUAACUAUAAUUUAUUGUAUAGUCUCAAAAAACUAGAAUACUCUGGAUGUGGUGGUUUACGCCUGUAAUCCCAGCACUUUGGGAGGCCGAGGUGGGCAGGUUGCUUGACCUCAGGAGUUUGAGACCAGCCUGGCCAACGUGGUGAAACCCCAUCUCUACUAAAAAUACAAAAAUUAGCUGGGCGUGGUUGUGGGUGCCUGUAAUCCCAGCUACUCAGGAGGCUGGGGCAGGGGAAUCACUUGAAUUUGGGAGGCGGAGACUGCAGCAAGCCAAGAAUGUGCCACUGCACUCCAGCCUGGGCGACGAGAGGAAGACUCUGUCUCAAAAAAAAAAGGGAAAAAAUGUAAAAAGAAAAUUUAAAAAAGGAAAGAAAAAGAAACUUAAUUCCCAACGUGAAAGUGUUAGGAGGUAGGUCUUUUGGGAGGUGGUUAGGUCUCAUGAAUAAGGAUGGAGCCCUCAUGAAUGGGAUUAGUGUCCUUUUAAGAAGGGUCCCCAGAGAGCUCUUUUGCCCCUUCCACCUUGUGAAGACACAGUAAGCUAGAAUAUGAGUCCUCACCAGACACUGAAUCUCCCAGUGCCUUGAUCUUGGACUUCCCACCUCCAGAACUAUGAGCAGCCUGGGCACAGUGGCUCACACCUGUAAUCCCAGCACUUUGGGAGGCUGAGGUGGGAGCAUCACAUGAGCCCAGGAGGUGGAGGCUGCAGUGAGCCGUGACUGCACCACUGCACUCCAGCCUAGGCAACAGAGCAAGACCCCAUCUGAAAAAGAAAUUAUGAGCAAUACAUUUCUGUUGUAGGUUUCCUAGUCUAUGGUAUUUUGUUUUAAAGCCUAAACUGACUGAUACACAUUUCCAGCUCUCUUGAGGAGUCUUUAAGCACAAUCUACAUCUUGGAUAUGAUAAUAACAGUAAUGCUUCCACUACAACUACAGGCCAAGCAUGCUGCUAGCUGCUAUGAUGUAUUCCAGCUCAUUUCAUCCACAAACCCCUACCAGAGACCUACUUCUGCCCUCCCUCCCGUUAUGGGAGAAAAAAAACUGAGGCUCAAAAAGGCACUAAGCCUACAAUAAUGAAAUCUGUGUGGUACUGACAUGAGAACAGACAUAUAUAGAUCCAGAGGACAGAAUGAGUGUCCAAAAAUAAACCCAUACAUCUAUUCCUUUUCUUUUUUUCCAAGACAAAGUCUUGUUCUGUCACCCAGGCUGGAGUGCAGUGGCGUGACCUCGGCUCACUGCAACCUCCGCCUCCCAGGUUCAAGUGAUUUUCCCGCCUCAGCUUCCUGAUUAGCUGGGACUACAGGCACGCACCACCACGCCCAGCUAAUCUUUGGUUUUUUGUUUUGUUUUGUUUUGUUUUUUUGAGAUGGAGUUUCACUCUUGUUGCCCAGGCUGGAGUGCAAUGGCGCGAUCUCGGCUCACUGCAAACUCCGCCUCCCAGGUUCAAGCGAUUCUCCUGCCUCAGCCUCCCUAGUAGCUGGGAUUACAGGCAUGUGCCACCACGCCUGGCUAAUUUUGUAUUUUUGGUAGAGACGGGGUUUCUCCAUGUUGGUCAGGCUGGUCUCGAACUCCCGACCUCAGGUGAUCCGCCCACCUCGGCCUCCCAAAGUGCUGGGAGUACAGGCGUGAGCCACCACGCCCAGCCAUCUUUGUACUUUUAGUAGAGUUGGGGUUUCACUGUGUUGGCUAGGCUGGUCUCGAACUUUGGACCUCAGGUGAUCUGCCCACCUUGGCCUCCCAAAGUGCUGGGAUUACAGGCAUGAGCCAUUGCACCCGGCCCCCAGUGGCUUUUCAACAAGGGCCAACAAGGUCAUUCCAUGGGAAAAUAAUCAUUUAAUAAAUAAUGCUAGAACAAUAAGAAAAAGAAGAAAGUUCAACCUCUCUGUCUAUGUAUAGAAUGGACCAAAGGCCGAAAUAUAAGAGCUAAAACUGUAAAACUCGUAAAAGAAAACAGAAGGGUAAAUGUUCACAACCUUGGGUUUGGUGAUGGAUCUUUAGAGAUGACAGCAAAAGCACAAGCAAUAAAAGAAAAAAAUAAAUUGGACUUUAUAAAAAGUAAAAACUUUUGUGCAUCAAAGGACAUUAUCCAAAAAGUGAAGACAAUUCACAGAAUGGGAAAAAAUAUUUGCUAGUCAUAUAUCUGAUGAGGGUCUAGUAUCUAGAAUAUAUAAAGAACACUUGCAACUCAACAACAACAAAAAAACCCAAUUUAAAAAUGAGCAGCCCUCUCCCUCUCCCUCUCCCUCUGCCCCUCCCCUCUUCCCUCUUUCCACGGUCUCCCUCUGAUGCCGAGCCGAAGCUGGACUGUACUGCUGCCAUCUCUGCUCACUGCAACCUCCCUGCCUGAUUCUCCUGCCUCAGCCUGCUGAGUGCCUGCGAUUGCAGCCUCACGCCGCCACGCCUGACUGGUUUUCGUAUUUUUUGGGUGGAGACGGGUUUUCGCCGUGUUGGCCGGGCUGGUCUCCAGCUCCUAACCGCGAGUGAUCCGCCAGCCUCGGCCUCCCGAGGUGCCGGGAUUGCAGACGGAGUCUCCUCCACUCAGUGCUCAAUGGUGCCCAGGCUGGAGUGCAGUGGCGUGAUCUCGGCUCGCUACAACAUCCACCUCCCAGCAGCCUGCCUUGGCCUCCCAAAGUGCCGAGAUUGCAGCCUCUGCCCGGCCGCCACCCCGUCUGGGAAGUGAGGAGCGUCUCUGCCUGGCCGCCCAUCGUCUGGGAUGUGAGGAGCCCCUCUGCCUGGCUGCCCAGUCUGGAAAGUGAGGAGCGUCUCUGCCCAGCCGCCAUCCUAUCUAGGAAGAGAGGAGCCCCUCUUCCCGGCCGCCAUCCCAUCUAGGAAGUGAGGAGCGUCUCUGCCCGGCCGCCCAUCGUCUGAGAUGCAGGGAGCACCUCUGCCCUGUCGCCCCAUCCGGGAUGUGAGGAGUGUCUCUGCCCGGCCGCCCCUACUGGGAAGUGAGGAGCCCCUCUGCCUGGCCGGCCGCCCCGACCGGGAGGGAGGUGGGGGGGUCAGCCCCCCGCCCGGCCAGCCGCCCCGUCCGGGAGGGAGGUGGGGGGGUCAGC